UGGGGUGUCGCAUAGCGGCUAUUCAGAAAACUGGAGCUCCUUGAGCCGAAUGGCGAAAAAAUCUCCCGUCUUCGGACAUCGUAGGUUCGAGUCCUACCGCCCCAA
rnacentral:tRNA from 1 species